GCUGGCGGCACGCCUAACACAUGCAAGUCGAACGAAGUAGCAAUACUUAGUGGCAGACGGGUGAGUAACAUGUAGGUAUCUACCCUAUGGCCUGGAAUAACACGAGGAAACUUGUGCUAAUACUGGAUAAGUCUUUACGGAGAAAGCUUUAUGCACCAUUGGAUGAGCCUGCACUUGAUUAGUUUGUUGGUGGGGUAAUGGCCUACCAAGACUGUGAUCAAUAGCUGAUUUGAGAGGAUGAUCAGCCACAUUGGGACUGAGACACGGCCCAAACUCCUACGGGAGGCAGCAGUGGGGAAUCUUGCACAAUGGAGGAAACUCUGAUGCAGCGAUGCCGCGUGAGUGAAGAAGGCCUUUGGGUUGUAAAGCUCUUUCGUCGGGGAAGAAAAUGACUGUACCCGAAUAAGAAGGUCCGGCUAACUUCGUGCCAGCAGCCGCGGUAAUACGAAGGGACCUAGCGUAGUUCGGAAUUACUGGGCUUAAAGAGUUCGUAGGUGGUUGAAAAAGUUGGUGGUGAAAUCCCAGAGCUUAACUCUGGAACUGCCAUCAAAACUUUUCAGCUAGAGUAUGGUAGAGGAAAGCAGAAUUUCUAGUGUAGAGGUGAAAUUCGUAGAUAUUAGAAAGAAUACCAAUUGCGAAGGCAGCUUUCUGGAUCAUUACUGACACUGAGGAACGAAAGCAUGGGUAGCGAAGAGGAUUAGAUACCCUCGUAGUCCAUGCCGUAAACGAUGUGUGUUAGACGUUGGAAAUUUAUUUUCAGUGUCGCAGUGAAAGCGAUAAACACACCGCCUGGGGAGUACGACCGC
rnacentral:rRNA from 1 species